rnacentral:rRNA from 1 species
GAACGCUGGCGGCGUGCUUAACACAUGCAAGUCGAGCGAAGCACUUAAGUUCGAUUCUUCGGAUGAAGACUUUUGUGACUGAGCGGCGGACGGGUGAGUAACGCGUGGGUAACCUGCCUCAUACAGGGGGAUAACAGUUAGAAAUGGCUGCUAAUACCGCAUAAGACCACAGUACUGCAUGGUACAGUGGUAAAAACUCCGGUGGUAUGAGAUGGACCCGCGUCUGAUUAGGUAGUUGGUGAGGUAACGGCCCACCAAGCCGACGAUCAGUAGCCGACCUGAGAGGGUGACCGGCCACAUUGGGACUGAGACACGGCCCAGACUCCUACGGGAGGCAGCAGUGGGGAAUAUUGCACAAUGGGCGAAAGCCUGAUGCAGCGACGCCGCGUGAAGGAUGAAGUAUUUCGGUAUGUAAACUUCUAUCAGCAGGGAAGAAAAUGACGGUACCUGACUAAGAAGCCCCGGCUAACUACGUGCCAGCAGCCGCGGUAAUACGUAGGGGGCAAGCGUUAUCCGGAUUUACUGGGUGUAAAGGGAGCGUAGACGGCUGUGCAAGUCUGAAGUGAAAGGCAUGGGCUCAACCUGUGGACUGCUUUGGAAACUGUGCAGCUAGAGUGUCGGAGAGGUAAGUGGAAUUCCUAGUGUAGCGGUGAAAUGCGUAGAUAUUAGGAGGAACACCAGUGGCGAAGGCGGCUUACUGGAC